AUAUCCUCCUGCCUUCCAUCAGUCUGGUCACUAAUCUCCAUGCCUCGCUUGUUCCUGUCUCCUGUGCGCCCUCCCUGAUAGCCACACCUGGUUGGUUCCUUUGUGUUCAUUUUCUGUUCCUGGACACUUGAUUUCUUGUCAUCACAAAAAUUUUCAAGGCAACAAGGACAGAGCCAGGUUGGCGUUAGCCACCCCCCGCUCUCCAAGUCUUCCAGUCUAGACCCUUUUCCGGCCAGAUUGCAGCAUGCAUUGGAUACUGUAUCCCUCCUUCUGUCCACAAGUUCCACAUGAAAUCAGUGGUUGGACCUUUUUGUCCAUCUCCUGAGAAUUCCAGCUAAAGCAGGAUUACAGAGAAACGGCUGGAUGGAUCAUCAGC